rnacentral:piRNA from 1 species
AGUACACGGUGAGGACAGAACU